rnacentral:rRNA from 1 species
CUACCAUGGCUUUCACGGGUAACGGAGGAUUAGGGUUCGAUUCCGGAGAGGGAGCCUGAGAAACGGCUACCACUUCCACGGAAGGCAGCAGGCGCGUAAAUUACCCAAUCCUGAUUCAGGGAGGUAGUGACAAGAAAUAAUGGGUCGGGGUUUUGCCCCGGGACUGCAAUGAGACGAAUUUAGACCCCUUAUCGAGGACCAAUUGGAGGGCAAGUCUGGUGCCAGCAGCCGCGGUAAUUCCAGCUCCAAUAGCGUAUAUUAAAGUUGUUGCAGUUAAAAAGCUCGUAGUUGGAUUUCUGGUAGAAGGAACGGGCGCACCUGCGUGAUGCCCGCGUCUUCUGCCAUCCUUCUGUUAACCUAUCUUGGCAUUGAUUUGUCGGUUAGGGGCUCAGAUAUUUUACCUUGAGAAAAUUAGAGUGUUUCAGGCAGGCUUAUGCCCGGAUACAUUAGCAUGGAAUAAUGGAACAGGACUUCGCCUCUUCUGUUGGUUUGAGGGGUUGAAGUAAUGAUUAAUAGGGAUAGUUGGGGGCAUUAGUACUUAACUGUCAGAGGUGAAAUUCUCGGAUUUGUUAAAGACUAACUUAUGCGAAAGCAUUUGCCAAGGAUGUUUUCAUUAAUCAA